UUUGAUCCUGGCUCAGAACGAACGCUGGCGGCAGGCUUAACACAUGCAAGUCGAGCGCCCCGCAAGGGGAGCGGCAGACGGGUGAGUAACGCGUGGGAAUCUACCCUUGACUACGGAAUAACGCAGGGAAACUUGUGCUAAUACCGUAUGUGUCCUUCGGGAGAAAGAUUUAUCGGUCAAGGAUGAGCCCGCGUUGGAUUAGCUAGUUGGUGGGGUAAAGGCCUACCAAGGCGACGAUCCAUAGCUGGUCUGAGAGGAUGAUCAGCCACAUUGGGACUGAGACACGGCCCAAACUCCUACGGGAGGCAGCAGUGGGGAAUAUUGGACAAUGGGCGCAAGCCUGAUCCAGCCAUGCCGCGUGAGUGAUGAAGGCCCUAGGGUUGUAAAGCUCUUUCACCGGAGAAGAUAAUGACGGU
rnacentral:rRNA from 1 species